rnacentral:rRNA from 1 species
CUAUGGGAGGCAGCAGUGGGGAAUAUUGGACAAUGGGCGAAAGCCUGAUCCAGCCAUGCCGCGUGAGUGAUGAAGGCCCUAGGGUUGUAAAGCUCUUUCACCGGUGAAGAUAAUGACGGUAACCGGAGAAGAAGCCCCGGCUAACUUCGUGCCAGCAGCCGCGGUAAUACGAAGGGGGCUAGCGUUGUUCGGAAUCACUGGGCGUAAAGCGCACGUAGGCGGAUCUUUAAGUCAGGGGUGAAAUCCCGGGGCUCAACCUCGGAACUGCCUUUGAUACUGGGGAUCUCGAGUUCGGGAGAGGUGAGUGGAACUGCGAGUGUAGAGGUGAAAUUCGUAGAUAUUCGCAAGAACACCAGUGGCGAAGGCGGCUCACUGGCCCGAUACUGACGCUGAGGUGCGAAAGCGUGGGGAGCAAACAGGAUUAGAAACCCUGGUAGUCC